CGGACGCUUUCAGUAGCAGCAGCGUGUAGACAAUUUACUUUUGUUUUAAACUAGUCAGUGGUAACCUUAAUUUAAACAUGACAGUGUACUUGGUAGACCAAAAACACGAUAAUAUGUGACAUAAACAGGCCAUCAAUGGCCCGCAUAGAGGAGUUUAUUGGCCGUUUUAACACCAUUAUUGUGUGUGUGUGUGUUCCCUCUUUCAGUUCUGCUGUAAAACACUGUAAUACCUGAGCUAAAUCUCUUAAAUUGAACGCUCAUACAGAGACGAUACUGAGUACUACGCAGAGGCUUGGAGGUACAGCUACAAGAGUACUGAAUUGAUGAGUACUGAAUCUACACAAGCAUAGUACCUGAGCUACAUCUCUUAAAGUGAACACUCGUACAGAGACGCUAUUGAGUACUACGCAGAGGCUUGGAGUCCUGCUGUAAAACACUGGAGCACCUGAGCUACUUAAAGUGAACACUCGUACAGAGACGCUACUGAGUACCACGCAGAGGCUUGAAGGUAUUUGCUCCUGAUGUCCUGACCAGUACACAUACAGAAAGAAGUGUUCCACUACCAGUUUCCAUUCAUCUGUGGGUCUCCUGACAUUGGGAGAGCGAGGAUUUCAAUGUCUGACUGCUCUUGAGUUAACAUAAUCAUCAUGCAGUCCUUGGAGAACGUCGGGGUGUGUGUGUGUGUGUGUGUGUGUGUGUGUGUGUGUGUGUGUGUGUGUGUGUGUGUGUGUGUGUGUGUGUGUGUGUGUGUCUGUGUGUCUGUGUGUCUGUGUGUCUGUGUGUCUGUGUGUCUGUGUGUCUGUGUGUCUGUGUGUCUGUGUGUCUGUGUGUCUGUGGGGGUUAUCCAGGAGCUAGGUCACAUCCUGUGCAUCCUCACAUCCUGUGGUUUACUGCAAUGGGUAGUUACAUCCCACACCCAUGGUAACUGAUGAAAUACACAUCAUGCGUUCCACGCGCAAACAGCUGUUUGCAGGAAUAUGCUAUUGGCUUGAGCAAUACUGCUAUUUGUACACUUAGACUGAACAUUCCAGAAUCACACCCAACAUGAUGCCAUCCUGAGUGCUUAUCAUUGUUUUUGCACUUAAAAAUUAGUUUCUUUAAAUCAUACUGGAAAUUGUUACCAGAUACAUUUUUGAUCUUAUUAUAUUUAUUGACUUAAGAUAUUGUGUUGUGAUUUAUUUGUAUUGAUGGGCCUUGAGUACUUGGUCUUAUUUCCCUUUCCAUGUAUCAGUGUACAAGGCACAAUAAAACCUCUUUAAAGGAG